rnacentral:rRNA from 1 species
CCUACGGGUGGCAGCAGUGGGGAAUAUUGGUCAAUGGGCGCAAGCCUGACCCAGCAACGUCGCGUGAGGGAUGAAGGCUCUCUGGUUGUUAACUUCUUUUAAGAGGGAAGUGCAGUACACGGUACCUCUUGAAUCAGCCACGGCUAACUACGUGCCAGCAGCCGCGGGCAUACGUAGGUCGCAAGCGUUGUCCGGAUUUACUGGGUGUACAGGGCGUGCAGGCGGGAAGACAAGUCAGGUGUGAAAUCCCGCGGCUAAACCGCGGAACUGCAUUUGAAACUGUUUUUCUUGAGUACCGGAGAGGUUAUCGGAAUUCCUGGUGUAGCGGUGAAAUGCGUAGAUAUAAGGAAGAACACCAGUGGCGAAGGCGGAUGACUGGACGGCAACUGACGGUGAGGCGCGAAAGCGUGGGGAGCAAACAGGAUUAGAUACCCCUGUAGUC